rfam:Lactobacillus silagei DNA, scaffold: sequence03, strain: IWT126.
AAUGAAACGUUGAUGAGAAGAGUACGCACCCUUUAAUUUCAAGAGAGCCCCGGUUGGUGAGAACGGGUGAUUGAAUGAUGCAGAAGAUGAGCUCGGAGUUUAAUUUGCGGUGAAAGCCAAUAAUUCGUGAGGAUACGAUAUAAUCCCGAACAUUAUCUGUGUUCAAGAGACUAGUCAUUGACUAGUAAUCUGGGUGGUACCACGGUUAACCAAUCGUCCCUGUG